UUAGAUGCGCUGUGGCACUGGAGAAGCCUCCUGCAUCCUGAUCACCAGAGAUGUCUGAGAGCUCCACCGUCUACACAGCUCCGCUCAAACGUCCUCCCUGCCAUGCAGUCGGUGUCCCCUGUCACCAAAGCCAUAUUCAUUGCUUUGUUUCUCUUCGCCAUCCUGCUCAUUCUAUACGUCAUCCUCUGGUAUAUAUGCCGAGACGCCGACAAUGACUACAUUUAAACAAGCGAAGGUCACUUAUCGAGGUAACAGAACUGUCCAAGGCUACUUGUUGAAUGACAGCGGAUGUUGCGUCUUCCAAAUGAAAGGUUGAUGUUUUAGCUCCUAUAUCAAUUUGAUGCAGCUCCAUGGACAGGUGAGGACGACCCCACCCCACCCCAGGCCUACAUACCUAUGGCAUAGAUAGAAGAAGCCUGUCCAACCAUUGCCAAAGAGACUGUUGGGCUCAGUGGGAUUCAUCAGACUUAGCGGUCAAACUGGGACAUGCUCUAACAGUGUGGUAAGAUGUGCUUGGAGGCCACAGAUGAGAGGAAGAGGAAGAUGGCAGAGAGCAGUCACUGCCAAGUGUAAACAACCAGGGAAGAGGGUGACUUCAUAAUCACCCUUCUCUCUGGUGGACUGUCCACCUAGAGGAUGGCUCAGCUUGGCCUUAGGAUAUAACCCGAAUACAUUGUUAAAUAUACUCUGUGUAAUGGUUACUACACCUGUCACAUUGCUGUAUGCUUUCCGUCUGUGAUGGUGGUAUUGUGAUAAUGAAAUUGUAACAUGUUGAGCUUAAUGCUAUCCUAGUUGUCUAAUAAAUGUUUUAUUUGGCAAGUUAUGCAGCAAUUUCUGUUAGACAAUACAUUUUUCCGUAAAGAUCCUAUGGACCCUAUAGAUACCUCCUUCACAUAGCUUGGGCUUAUAAAUACUAAUGAUGAUGGUACUACCUUCAUGUUAUAUUGCCUUAUAGACCUGCAUUCAAAGCAGACACUUUUUUUUAGCUUUGAAUCUGAAUGUGUGGUCAAGAUGACUUUGUUACAUUUUCAUCAGUACUUAAUAAUAUGUACAGUUGAAGUCGGAAGUUUACAUACACUUAGGUUGGAGUCAUUAAAACUCGUUUUUCAACCACUCUACAAAUUUCUUGUUAACAAACUAUAAUUUUGGCAAGUCGGUUAGGACAUCUACUUUGUGCAUGACACAAGUAAUUUUUCCAACAAUUGUUUACAGACAGAUUAUUUCACUUAUAAUUCACUGUAUUACAAUUCCAGUGGGUCAGAAGUUUACAUACACUAAGUUGACUGUGCCUUGAAACAGCUUGGAAAAUUCCAGAAAAGGAUGUCAUGGCUUUAGCAGCUUCUGAUAGGCUAAUUGACAUCAUUUGAGUCAAUUGGAGGUGUACCUGUGGAUGUAUUUCAAGGCCUACCUUCAAACUCAGUGCCUCUUUGCUUGACAUCAUGGGAAAAUCAAAAGAAAUCAGCCAAGACCUCAGAAAAAAAGAUUCUAGACCUCCACAAGUCUGGUUCACCCUUGGGAGCAAUUUCCAAAUGCCUGAAGGUACCACGUUCAUCUGUACAAACAAUAGUACGCAAGUACAAACACCAUGGGACCACGCAGCAGUAAAACAAGUCCUAUAUUGACAUAACCUGAAAGGCUGCUCAGCAAGGAAGAAGCCACUGCUCCAAAACCGCAAUAAAAAAUCCAGACGACGGUUUGCAACUGCACAUGUGGACAAAGAUCGUACUUUUUGGAGAAAUGUCCUCUGGUCUGAUGAAACUAAAAUAUAACUGUUUGGCCAUAAUGACCAUUGUUUUGUUUGGAGGAAAAAGGGGGAGGCUUGCAAGCCGAAGAACACCAUCCCAAACGUGAAGCACGGGGGUGGCAGCAUCAUGUUGUGGGUGUGAUUUGCUGCAGGAGGUACUGGUGUACUUCACAAAAUAGUUGGUAUCAUGAGGAAGGAAAAUGAUGUGGAUAUAUUGAAGCAACAUCUCAAGACAUCAGUCAGGAAGUUAAAGCUUGGUCGCAAAUGGGUCUUCCAAAUGGACAAUGACCCCAAGCAUACUUCCAAAGUUGUGGCAAAAUGGCUUAAGGACAACAAAGUCAAGGUAUUAGAGUGGCCAUCACAAAGCCCUGACCUCAACCCUGUAGAACAUUUGUGGGCAGAACUGGAAAAGCGUGUGCGAGCAAGGAGGCCUACAAACCUGACUCAGUUACACCAGCUCUGUCAGGAUUAAUGGGCCAAAAUUCAUGCAACUUAUUGUGUGAAGCUUGUGGAAGGCUGCCCGAAAUGUUUGACCCAAGUUAAACAAUUUAAAGGCAAUGCUACCAAAUACUAAUUGAGUGUAUGUAAACUUCUGACCCACUGGGAAUGUGAUGAAAGAACUAAAAGCUGAAAUAAAUCAUUCUCUAUACUAUUAUACUGACAUUUCACAUUCUUAAAAUAAAGUGGUGAUCCUAACUGACCUAAAACAGGGAAUUUUUACUAGGAUUAAAUGUCAGGAAUUGUGAAAAACAGAGUUUAAAAAUAUUUGACUAAGGUGUAUGUAAACUUCCGACUUCAGCUGUACAUACAAAGCUAAAGACCAUAAUCUACAGAGGGUAGUGCGAACGGCCCAGUACAUCACUGGGGCCAAGCUUCCUGCCAUCCAGGACCUCUAUACCAUGCGGUGUCAGAGGAAGGCCCUGAAAAUUGUCAAAGACUCCAGUCAUCCUAGUCAUAGACUGUUCUCUCUGCUACCACACGGCAAGCGGUACCGGAGCGCCAGGUCUAAGUCCAAGAGGCUUCUUAACAGCUUCUACCCCCAAGACAUAAGACUCCUGAACAUCUUAUCAAAUGGCUACCCAGACUAUUCACAUUCCCCCCCCCCCCACACACACCACUGCCACUCUAUGUUGUCAUCUAUGCAUAGUCACUUUAAUUAACUCUACCUACAUGCACAUACUACCUCAACUAGCCAACUAGCCGCCCCCGCACAUUGACUCUGUACCGGCACCCCCCUGUAUAUGUUAUUUUUUACUGCUCCUAUUUAAUUACUUGUUACUUUUAUCUCUUAUUCUUAUCCAUAUUUAUUUUAACUGCACUGUCGGUUAGGGGCUCGUAAGUAGGCAUUUCACUGUAAGGUCUACACCUGUUGUAUUCGGCGCAUGUGUCUAACAACAUUUGAUUUGUUUUAUACAGUAUAUAAUAUAUUCCCAGAGCAGAUGUCUGUAUGUUUUAAGUAUUCUACUGAUGACUAUGCGCAGAUGAGUUAUUUAACCUCUGGUGACCCCCUAUUGGUCUGUACUGUUCUUUAAUCCUGUAGAGAGAACCCCACAGAGACACAGUGGGGUAUGAAGAGGCUGCACACACCCUUUGAGGAGUCUCCUGGCUAGGUAGAAUAAGCCGCGCAGUGUUGCAGCUCUCCACGGCUCCAUGUUUCUAAUGGGAUUUCUUCGGAGGAUAAAUGGACCUCUGGAAAUUGCCUCUGAAAAUAUACUUCUCUCUGAGAUCAGUGGCCCACACCUGCACAGAGCCAUUAAUAGACUUCCCAUGACACAGUUUCAGUCCUACCAGACUCCAGUUAAUACAUUUCACAGACUAAAGAUAACAUUCAGCCUAGAUUAAAUCAACACCUAUAACAAUAAAUACGUGUUUUGUUCACCAAGUCAGCGUCUAAUUUACAAUAGUUUUAUGAUCACUCCUUUGCAAAACAAAUUCAUGCCUCCAUAAGUUUGUUUGAAAGAACAUACACUGAGUGUACAAAACAUUAAGAACACCUUCUCUUUCGACAUAGACUGACCAGGUGAAUCCAUGUGAAUACUAUGAUCCCUUAUUGAUGUUACUUGUUAAAUCCACUUCAAUCAGUGUAGAUGAAGGGGAGGAGACAGGUUAAAGAAGGAUGUCUAAGCCUGGAGAUAAUUGAGACAUGUUGUAUGUGUGCCAUUCAGAGGGUGAAUGGGCAAGACAAUAAAUGUAAGUGCCUUUGAUUGGGGUAUGGUAGUAGGUGCCAGGCGCACCGGUUUGUGUCAAGAACUGCAACGCUGCUGGGUUUUUCAAGCUCAACAGUUUCCCGUGUGUAUCAAGAAUGGUCCACCACCCUAAGGACAUCCAGCCAACUUGACACAACUGUGGGAGGCAUUGGAGUCAACAUGGGCCAGCAUCCCUGUGUAACGCUUUCAACACCUUGUAGAGUCCAUGCCCUGACGAAUUGAGGUUUUUCUGAGGGCGAAAGGGGGGAGGGUGGAUCGCAAUGUUAGGAAGGUGUUCCUAAUGUUUGGUAUACUCAGUCUAUAUUUUAGUUGCAACACUGCCGCUCUGCCACCUCUCAAUUGAGCACAUGCCAUGCAAUACCACUAGAUGGCGAUAUAACGUGUUAUCACUUUGACAUGCACACAAAAAGGUUUUCACCUACCCUGUCCACAUAGUAAAAGUGAAUUACCUCAUGUAACUGAACAAUUAUAGUCAGCAAAAAAAAGUUCACACUACAAUAUACACUUCCAAGUAUUUAUUAUAGUACCAUUCAACCCAUUCAGACCUGAUGAAAGGUCAAAACCUUCUUAUAAUAGACACACUAGGGAGCAUUUUUUCUAGUGUGCAGAGUCUUUUUUGCUGAUGAACAUUUGUGUACGGCACCUGCUCAAAACCGUUGGGUAUGCAAGUGUUCCACCAUUUUUCAAUAUAACUGCUUGAAAUGUUCUGUUUUACUCCAAUGUCACUUUCAGGGUUGGUCUGUUUCAACUAAAUGUUAUCUUCUGAGCUGCCUCGAGUAGAUAGUAACUCAUUACCCUCUGGCUGUGCUAUAGAGUGUAAAUAUGAUUAAAUAAAUACCCUUUGCGGUGU